GACAGAGGGUGCUAGCGUUGUUCGGAAUGACUGGGCGUAAAGGGCGCGUAGGCUGUUAACCAAGUCAGAUGUGAAAGCCCCGGGCUUAACCUGGGAACUGCAUUUGAUACUGGUUGACUAGAGUGCGAGAGAGGAAAGUGGAAUUCCUAGUGUAGAGGUGAAAUUCGUAGAUAUUAGGAGGAACACCAGAGGCGAAGGCGGCUUUCUGGCUCGCAACUGACGCUGAGGCGCGAAAGCGUGGGGAGCAAACAGG
rnacentral:rRNA from 1 species